AUAACGGUCCUAAGGUAGCGAAAUUCCUUGUCGGGUAAGUUCCGACCCGCACGAAUGGCGUAACGAUGGCCACACUGUCUCCUCCCGAGACUCAGCGAAGUUGAAGUGGUUGUGAAGAUGCAAUCUACCCGCUGCUAGACGGAAAGACCCCGUGAACCUUUACUGUAGCUUUGCAUUGGACUUUGAAGUCACUUGUGUAGGAUAGGUGGGAGGCUUUGAAGCAGAGACGCCAGUCUCUGUGGAGCCGUCCUUGAAAUACCACCCUGGUGUCUUUGAGGUUCUAACCCAGACCCGUAAUCCGGGUCGGGGACCGUGCAUGGUAGGCAGUUUGACUGGGGCGGUCUCCUCCCAAAGAGUAACGGAGGAGUUCGAAGGUUACCUAGGUCCGGUCGGAAAUCGGACUGAUAGUGCAAUGGCAAAAGGUAGCUUAACUGCGAGACCGACAAGUCGAGCAGGUGCGAAAGCAGGACAUAGUGAUCCGGUGGUUCUGUAUGGAAGGGCCAUCGCUCAACGGAUAAAAGGUACUCCGGGGAUAACAGGCUGAUUCCGCCCAAGAGUUCAUAUCGACGGCGGAGUUUGGCACCUCGAUGUCGGCUCAUCACAUCCUGGGGCUGUAGUCGGUCCCAAGGGUAUGGCUGUUCGCCAUUUAAAGUGGUACGUGAGCUGGGUUUAAAACGUCGUGAGACAGUUUGGUCCCUAUCUGCAGUGGGCGUUGGAAGUUUGACGGGGGCUGCUCCUAGUACGAGAGGACCGGAGUGGACGAACCUCUGGUGUACCGGUUGUAACGCCAGUUGCAUAGCCGGGUAGCUAAGUUCGGAAGAGAUAAGCGCUGAAAGCAUCUAAGCGCGAAACUCGCCUGAAGAUGAGACUUCCCUUGCGGUUUAACCGCACUAAAGAGUCGUUCGAGACCAGGACGUUGAUAGGUGGGGUGUGGAAGCGCGGUAACGCGUGAAGCUAACCCAUACUAAUUGCUCGUGAGGCUUGACUCU
rnacentral:rRNA from 2 species